rnacentral:rRNA from 1 species
UACGAAGGGGGCGAGCGUUGUUCGGAAUUACUGGGCGUAAAGGGCGCGUAGGCGGCGACCCAAGUCAGAUGUGAAAGUCCUGGGCUUAACCUGGGGACUGCAUUUGAUACUGGGUUGCUUGAAUGCAGGAGAGGAUAGCGGAAUUCCCAGUGUAGAGGUGAAAUUCGUAGAUAUUGGGAAGAACACCGGUGGCGAAGGCGGCUAUCUGGACUGUGAUUGACGCUGAGGCGCGAAAGCGUGGGGAGCAAACGGG